rnacentral:rRNA from 1 species
GGUUAAAAAGCUCGUAGUUGGAUUUCUGUUGAGGACGGCCGGUCCGCACUAUGUGCGUGUAUCUGGUUCGGCCUUGGCAUCCUCUUGAGGAACGUUCCUGCGCUUGAUUGCGUGGGGCGGUAUUCAAGACUUUUACUUUGAGGAAAUUAGAGUGUUCACGGCAGGCAAGCGCCUUGAAUACAUUAGCAUGGAAUAAUAAUAUAGGAUCUUGGUUCUAUUUGUUGGUUUCUAGGGCUAAGGUAAUGAUUAAUAGGGAUAAUUGGGGGCAUUUGUAUUAACGCGUCAGAGGUGGAAUUCUUGGAUUGCGUUACGACAAACUACUGCGAAAGCAUUUGCCAAGGAUGUUUUCAUUGAUCAAGAACGAAAGUAUGGGGAUCGAAGAUGAUUAGAUACCGUCGUAGUCUAUACCAUAAACUAUGCCGACUAGGGAUUGGAGGUCGUUCUUUUUAUGACUCCUUCAGCACCUUAUGAGAAAUCAAAGUCUUUGGGUUCCGGGGGGAGUAUAGUCGCAAGGCUGAAACUUAAAGGAAUUGACGGAAGGGCACCACCAGGAGUGGAGCCUGCGGCUUAAUUUGACUCAACACGGGGAAACUCACCAGGUCCAGACAUAGUAAGGAUUGACAGAUUGAUAGCUCUUUCUUGAUUCUAUGGGUGGUGGUGCAUGGCCG